GAAAUGCGAAAAGUAGUGUGAAUUGCAGAAUUCAGUGAAUCAUCGAAUCUUUGAACGCACAUUGCGCCCCUUGGUAUUCCAUGGGGCAUGCCUGUUCGAGCGUCAUUUUGUACCCUCAAGCACUGCUUGGUGUUGGGCGUUUGUCCUGCAAAGGACUCGCCUGAAAGCGAUUUGCGGCCAACGUACUGGUGGUAGAGCGCAGCACAAUUUGCGUCUCUCCCUUCUACGUCGGCGUCCAUGAAGCCUUUUUUCAACGUUUGACCUCGGAUCAGGUAGGGAUACCCGCUGAACUUAAGC
rnacentral:misc_RNA from 1 species